GCCAGACUCCUACGGGAGGCAGCAGUGGGGGAUAUUGCACAAUGGGGGAAACCCUGAUGCAGCGACGCCGCGUGGGUGAAGAAGUAUUUCGGUAUGUAAAGCCCUAGCAGCAGGGAAGAAAGAAGACGGUACCUGACUAAGAAGCCCCGGCUAACUACGUGCCAGCAGCCGCGGUAAUACGUAGGGGGCGAGCGUUAUCCGGAUUCACUGGGUGUAAAGGGAGCGUAGACGGCCGUGCAAGCCAGGAGUGAAAGCCCGGGGCCCAACCCCGGGACUGCUCUUGGAACUGUGCGGCUGGAGUGCGGGAGGGGCAGGCGGAAUUCCUGGCGUAGCGGUGAAAUGCGUAGAUAUCAGGAGGAACACCGGCGGCGAAGGCGGCCUGCUGGACCGUGACUGACGUUGAGGCUCGAGAGCGUGGGGAGCAAACAGGAUUAGAUACCCUAGUAU
rnacentral:rRNA from 1 species